UUAUCUCUCUUUCACCAUUUUUCCAAAUUCUAAUGGAGCUAGAACCAAUCGGAAGCCAAGAAGUCCGGCAAGGCGAAGCCGACAAGAUCACCGGUCCAUGUCGCUUUCAUCGUCGAUUGCGAUCUCUCCGACAACUCGUUUGCCUCACUCACUCCAUUCUCAGGGAUGCAUCUUCGUCAUUGUUUCUGCUAAAUUUUCAAUCUAAAUCGUCUAUUGAGUUUGACUUAGGGUUUGGGCUUUCUAGGAGGUGAUGUGCUUGCUGAACCGCCCGAGCUUACUGGUGACGAGUAGACAGAUUCGAAUGUGCAGAAGGCGAUGCUGGGACAAGUAGGGAUCUCUUCAAGGUUGUUGCUUACUUACUCUGGAAUACCAUAAUUGUGAUCACUGCCUAGAUUAAGGGUGAAGGUGAUCAAGUAUAAAGCUUUAUAUACCUUGGGUGAAAAUUUGGUUCGUCGUGAUUAUGCAUUUCAUUGCUGUGACACCUGGAUCUUAUGUGCUGUGGCACUGCCCUCUUUACCGUGUGUUCUUGAUAGAUGAUCUACAUGGCAGAAACCAUUAAAGUUUUAUAAGAGACGUGGUAAAGAAGGUUCCAAAGCUCAGGCCUUGAUCUGACAUUCUAUAGGCGAUGAUCUGUCUACAUGGGAACUUGCUUGAUUUGGUUUCAGCAAGAUUUUUUGAGUUUUAGGAAUUUUUAUGAUUUCUUUCUUAUUAGGUUUUGUUUUACUUUAUCCUAGUGGUUUUAGGGUUUUAGCUUCUCUAUAUAUAAAGGCCUUUGUAGCCUUUUGCAGGCAGAAUUGAGUUUAUAAAAAAUUGAAAGCUUUUGUUUCCUUUCAGGCCUGUGUGACGCAGCCUAAUUUCUGGGUGUGAUGCCUAGAGUUCUACUGGUGUGAUUCAAGUAGUCUUGUUCUGGUCUUGAAUUCCCACCUUUAAUUCCUUCUUAGCCUAAGAGUUUUUAAACAAUCCUUAGCCUACAGUUCUCAUUAUUUGUCCUGCAUCAGUUCCGUUUUUGUAUUCUCUGUGGCAAAUUUGGAUGUUGAUUUAUUUUGGUUUAAAUACCAAGCUCUCGUUUAACUAUUUACCUGUUAGUAAGCCAUAACUAUAUUAGUUAAUGUUGUCUCAGAUUUGUUAAUUUAGUAGGUUUGCAAUCUACUCCUGGAUUUCUAGUAUACCCCAUAUUACUUA